UCUUUACUUGACUCUCCACCCUUGGACCUCUCCUUCUGUCCGAACUAAUGUAACUGUUCCAGGUCCUAUUCCUCUAGAGACCUAGUAAGUUAGUAACUUGCCAAUUCUGAUGAUCUAUAUGGCAAUUGUUUAAGCUAUAAUCAGUCAUUUUGAAUUUUUACAUCUAAGAGAUAUUUGCAUUUUUAAACAAUGACACUUCUUUUAAAAGCAGUUUUAGGUUCUGCUUACACUUUUACAUGGAAAUGUAUUUGUGAUUUUAAAGGUGAAGUUCUUGUUGAAAAAUAUGAUACCUUUAUCUGCAGACGAGAGUAAGGAAAAUCUUUCUAAAGUCAUGGUCCGCUUUGACAAGGUGAAUCCUGCAUGCUUCUAGGAAGCAGUCACUCUGAAAUUGCUUUCGCUACUUAAUUGUACUAUUUUUGUCAUCUUGGCUUUGCCCUGACACAUAAUUUAUAAUUUAUCAUGUAGCUAUUUCAUUAUGUAGUACUGGUUUAAAACUACAUUAGAGCUUUAGGAAAUAAGAUAACUGUGUUUAGCAUUAAUACAUAAUACAUUAAGGAGUAAUUAUUUUUUGUGUGUGCAGGAACCUGGAAAUUGCUGUAGUAUAGAAAGUUUUUAUUUGACUCUGGUGCUAUCUCACCC
rnacentral:lncRNA from 1 species